UACGUAGGGACCAAGCGCUGUUCGGAUUUACUGGGCGUAAAGGGCGCGUAGGCGGCUUGACAAGUCACUUGUGAAAUCUCCGGGCUUAACUCGGAACUGCCAAGUGAAACUGUCAUGCUAGAGUGCAGAAGGGGCAAUCGGAAUUCUUGGUGUAGCGGUGAAAUGCGUAGAUAUCAAGAGGAACACCUGAGGUGAAGACGGGUUGCUGGGCUGACACUGACGCUGAGGCGCGAAAGCCAGGGGAGCAAACGGG
rnacentral:rRNA from 1 species